rnacentral:lncRNA from 1 species
UUCUUGCCUCUGCCAGAGUUAUCACGUAAAACGAUCUAACUUAUGCUUUGUAGAAGGUGGAACGAACUCUCGAUUUUUACGUGGAAAGUCUUUUAAAAUUCGAGUCGGAAGAAGCAGCACGCUCUUCGUUCGCACGCUGACCUUGUCCGACCGAUUGGAGUGGAACCAGUCGCUGCGAUCUAUAAAACCGCGAGGUAUUCCCAUCCAUUUGUCAUGGCUCGCAAGUUUCACGCAUUGCUCUUGGCAGUACUGCUUCUUCUUGCGCUUGGGAGCAAUCGCACGGAGGCCAGUCGCUCGAAAUUGGUGGGCAGCAGUGGAGAGCAAUCACGCGCAAGCUCGCAAAAGUCCACAGAUCCUUCGGGAUCCUCCUCGCAGGGAAUCGAUAUAGAUGGCAAUAGAUACAAUGUCGUCACUGCCGCGAGAGGAUGACGCGCGGUAUAUAUCAUUCGAAUUGUAAAUCCACGACGCGCGGUGCGCCGCCGUACAAGCUUUGUUA